CUGAGAACUUGCCCUCCAGGGUAGAUCUCCCACCCUCUGUCUACAUACUUUGUUGCUUUGGCAGGCCUGCCUCUGUGCUACUGGCCUAGGCUAGUUAGUGCCUGCCAGAGAACCAAAACCCAGAAUCAUUUAUUGUCUGAGUAAUAUUUAAUAGUUA
rnacentral:misc_RNA from 1 species